rnacentral:tRNA from 1 species
UUCUUGGUGGCUCAGAUGGUAAAGAAUCUGCCUGCAAUGCAGGGGACCUGGGUUCGACCCCUGGCUUGGGAA